rnacentral:rRNA from 1 species
UACGGAGGAUCCAAGCGUUAUCCGGAUUUAUUGGGUUUAAAGGGUGCGUAGGCGGCUUAUUAAGUCAGGGGUGAAAGGCGGUAGCUUAACUAUCGGAGUGCCUUUGAUACUGAUGAGCUUGAAUACAGUUGAGGUAGGCGGAAUGUGACAAGUAGCGGUGAAAUGCAUAGAUAUGUCACAGAGCACCGAUUGCGAAGGCAGCUUACUAAAGUGUAAUUGACGCUGAGGCACGAAAAGCGUGGGGGAUCAAACAGG